rnacentral:rRNA from 1 species
UACGAAGGGGGCUAGCGUUGCUCGGAAUCACUGGGCGUAAAGGGUGCGUAGGCGGCGGUGCAAGUCCGAUGUGAAAUACCGGGGCUCAACCCUGGGAUGCCGGUGGAUACUGUCGAGCUCGAGUCCGGAAGAGGCGAGUGGAAUUCCUGGUGUAGCGGUGAAAUGCGCAGAUAUCAGGAGGAACACCAAUGGCGAAGGCAGCUCGCUGGGACGUGACUGACGCUGAGACGCGAAAGCGUGGGGAGCGAACAGG